GACCGCAUAGCUCAGUUGGUAGAGCAUUGGGCUAGUAUUCCAAAGGUCGUAGGUUUGAUUCCCACUGUGGCCA
rnacentral:tRNA from 1 species